AAAAUUGGGUAAUUUGCUCUUUUACUGUUUAGUUGUUUGAUCUCCAUGUAUAUUCUGAACAUUAAUCUUUUGUCAGAGGAAUAGUUUACAAAUAUUUUCUUCCAUUCUACGGGUUGUCUCUUCACUUUGUUGUUUUGUUUGCUGCACAGAAGCUUUUUUAGUUUUAUAUAAUCCCAUCGAUCUAUUUUUAGUUUUGCUGCCUGUGCUUUUGAAGUUUUAUCUAUAAAAUCCUUUCCCAGAUAUGUGUCCUGAAGCAUUUCUUCUAUGUUUUAUUUUGAUUUUAUUGAAUUUGUUAAUCAGCUCUAAGAGGUUUUUGGUGGAGUCUUCAGGGUUUUUAUAAAUAUAUACAGAUCAUGUUAUCUGCAAACAGGGACAAUUUGACUUUCUCUUUUCCAAUUUGGAUGCCUUUUAUUUUUUUUUUCUUGUCUAAUUACUCUGGCUGGAACUUCCAUAGACAUGUUGAAUAAGAGCAGUAAAAGUAGGCAUUCUUGUCUUGUUAUAUAAUAGUUAUUAAAGAUUCACUAUGAUGUUUGUCAUAUAUGGCCUACAUUGUGUUGGGGUAUGUUCCUUCUAGUAUUCCUACCUAAUUUAUUGAGAAUUUUUAUCAUGAGAGGAUGUUAAUGU
rnacentral:lncRNA from 1 species